AAGACCUUGCACUUUUGGAGCGGCCGAUGUCUGAUUAGCUAGUUGGUGGGGUAAUGGCCUACCAAAGCUUCGAUCAGUAGCUGGUCUGAGAGGACGGCCAGCCACACUGGGACUGAGACACGGCCCAGACUCCUACGGGAGGCAGCAGUGGGGAAUUUUGGACAAUGGGCGCAAGCCUGAUCCAGCCAUGCCGCGUGAGUGAAGAAGGCCUUCGGGUUGUAAAGCUCUUUCAGCCGGGAAGAAAAGGUUGCGACUAAUAAUCGCAAUUCAUGACGGUACCGAAAGAAGAUGCACCGGCUAACUACGUGCCAGCAGCCGCGGUAAUACGUAGGGUGCGAGCGUUAAUCGGAAUUACUGGGCGUAAAGGGUGCGCAGGCGGUUUUGUAAGUCAGAUGUGAAAUCCCCGGGCUUAACCUGGGAACU
rnacentral:rRNA from 1 species